rnacentral:rRNA from 1 species
UGGGGAAUAUUGCACAAUGGGGGAAACCCUGAUGCAGCGACGCCGCGUGAGCGAUGAAGGCUUUCGAGUCGUAAAGCUCUGUCCUAUGGGAAGAUAAUGACGGUACCAUAGAAGAAAGCCCCGGCUAAUUACGUGCCAGCAGCCGCGGUAAUACGUAAGGGGCGAGCGUUGUCCGGAAUUAUUGGGCGUAAAGAGUGCGUAGGCGGCAAAUUAAGUCAGAUGUGAAAACUAAGGGCUCAACCCAUAGAUUGCAUCUGAAACUGAUAUGCUUGAGCCAAGGAGAGGAAAGUGGAAUUCCUAGUGUAGCGGUGGAAUGCGUAGAUAUUAGGAGGAAUACCGGUGGCGAAGGCGACUUUCUGGACUUGAACUGACGCUGAGGCACGAAAGCGUGGGGAGCAAACAGG